UGCAGUCGAGCGGCAGCGCGGGGGCAACCCUGGCGGCGAGCGGCGAACGGGUGAGUAAUGCAUCGGAACGUAUCCUUGAGUGGGGGAUAACCCAGCGAAAGUUGGGCUAAUACCGCAUGAGCUCUGAGGAGGAAAGCGGGGGACCUGAAAGGGCCUCGCGCUGGAGGAGCGGCCGAUGUCCGAUUAGCUAGUUGGUGGGGUAAAGGCUUACCAAGGCGACGAUCGGUAGCUGGUCUGAGAGGAUGAUCUGCCGCACUGGGACUGAGACACGGCCCAGACUCCUACGGGAGGCAGCAGUGGGGAAUUUUGGACAAUGGGGGCAACCCUGAUCCAGCCAUGCCGCGUGAGUGAAGAAGGCCUUCGGGUUGUAAAGCUCUUUCGGACGGAACGAAAUGGGCGGGACUAAUACUCCUGUCCGAUGACGGUACCGUAAGAAGAAGCACCGGCUAACUACGUGCCAGCAGCCGCGGUAAUACGUAGGGUGCGAGCGUUAAUCGGAAUUACUGGGCGUAAAGCGUGCGCAGGCGGUUUCGUAAGCUGGAGGUGAAAUCCCCGGGCUUAACCUGGGAAUGGCCUUCAGGACUGCGAGGCUAGAGUGCGGCAGAGGGAGGUGGAAUUCCACGUGUAGCAGUGAAAUGCGUAGAGAUGUGGAGGAACACCGAUGGCGAAGGCAGUCUCCUGGGCCAGCACUGACGCUCAUGCACGAAAGCGUGGGGAGCAAACAGGAUUAGAUACCCUGGUAGUCCACGCCCUAAACGAUGUCAACUAGGUGUUGGGGAAGGUGACUUCCUUAGUACCGCAGCUAACGCGUGAAGUUGACCGCCUGGGGAGUACGGCCGCAAGGUUAAAACUCAAAGGAAUUGACGGGGACCCGCACAAGCGGUGGAUGAUGUGGAUUAAUUCGAUGCAACGCGAAAAACCUUACCUACCCUUGACAUGCCUGGAACCCUGCUGAGAGGUGGGGGUGCCCGAA
rnacentral:rRNA from 1 species